rnacentral:tRNA from 1 species
UGUACCCCUAUUUACAUUGGUUUAAUUCCUUUCUUUAUCA